GUGCCAGCAGCCGCGGUAAUACGAGUGGUGCUAGCGUUAUUCGGAUUUAUUGGGCGUAAAGGGUGCGCAGACGGUUUGUUAAGUCACUUGUUAAAUUCUUUGGCCUAACUGAAGGUAUGCGAGUGAAACUAAUAAACUAGAGGGUGGAAGAGAGAAGUGGAAUUCUCGGAGUAGCGGUAAAAUGCGUAGAUCUCGAGAGGAACACCAAUGGCGAAGGCAGCUUCUUGGUCCACUCCUGACGUUCAUGCACGAAAGCGUGGGGAGCAAACAGGAUUAGAUACCCUGGUAGUCCACGCUGUAAACGAUGAUCACUAGACGUUAGUUCUGCUUGCAGAAUUAGUGUCGUAGCUAACGCGUUAAGUGAUCCGCCUGGGAAUUACGGUCGCAAGACUAAA
rnacentral:rRNA from 1 species